GGGUAUAUAGCUCAGUUGGUUGAGUGCUUACCUCACAUGCAUAAGGUCCUGGGUUCAAUUCCCAAUACUACUA
rnacentral:tRNA from 1 species